UCACAAAAGUAUAAAAUUUGUCAAAAAAACAUGGAAAAUCAAUGAAGGUAUUUUAGGAAGAGAUGACCUGAAUAGUUGAUCAAAAGUUGACGUAGAAAAAUACAUUUGAGAUUUUCCAAAACAAAUUGAAAUUAGGGAAUGGAGAUGGACAUUACAAUUGCUGCAAAUAGCAAAUACAUAAAUUCAAGUGAAUGUUUAUGUUGAUAUUGCAUGAAAUAAAUUGAAUUUGAGACAUGUUAUAUACAGAACGGACUAUGAUUAUCUAUAAAAAAGCUAAAAGAUCAUUGGUUAGAAAAUAGAUACAUGUUUUGUUGGAGUGCAAACAAAGUCUUACAUUGAGUGAAAGAAGGACUGGUCAAGGGUUUAUAUACACAUAGAUAUCUCCAAUGGUAAGAGGCCUUUUGGAGUGGUACCAAAAGCAAAGCCGUGAGGGCUUGGCCCAAAGCGGACAAUGUCUAUGUGUGUGUCGAACCUCCCCCAACAGUGGUAUCAGAGCCCAUGGUUCGGGUCUGAUGACUGGGCUCAGACGAGUACGUCCCCCCAUGAUCAGGCGAGCCAGGCAGGAGGCCGUGAGGGCUUGGCGCAAAGCAGACAAUGUCUUACCAUGUGUAUAGUUAAUGAUUUAAACAAGAUUCAAUGAUAUUAAGUCAAAAUAUUAAAAACCUUAUAUACACGUGAUCUCCUGUAG
rnacentral:lncRNA from 1 species